AGGCAUCAUGGAGGUUUGGUCUGCAGAGAGCCAAUAAUUAUUGUUAUUAACAUGAACUCUACACAUGAUGUGCAACAUGCUUUGACCAAUGAAUGGUUAAUAUUGUAACAUUUCUAAUCCAGGCUCAGAAGAUCUAAAGUAAACCCAACUGAAAAGACACAGUCCAGACAUCCAGCGACACCUAAAACACAUCCAGUUAUUAUUCUUGGAGCCAUGCUGGGAGAGAACAGUCAAAUCACAAUGAGACAGCAGUUUCUAUUUGGUUUAACUCUAUGUGGCAGUAAGCUAAACUGUUUUCAUCAUGAUUUCAUCUAGAAAAGCAGUAAAAAGGUGAAUCAAAGGAGGCUGAACACCUUCUAGAGUCAAUGAAAUCCUCUAGAUGAUCUGUUCUUGAACCAGAAGAAGCUGAGAGCCUGCUCACCAGGAGGAAGAGGAGCUGAGAUGUUCAGGGAGGAGCUGAGAUGUUACUGAACUCUAGAAGAUACUCAAACUUCCUCAUUCAACACAGUUCAACACAAAAACAUUAACUCUGCUCAACAUGCUGUCUUUGCUCACAUCUGGAUUUAUUCUGCUGGUUCUGCUCAUUAGAACAGAUGUAAACUGUCAACAACUCACUGCACUGAAGACUGAGGAGUCCAGUUUAGAGGGCGGUUCUGUUACUCUGUCUUGUAGUUACACCAAAGGUUCUGCUAAUUAUUUGUUCUGGUAUCGACAAAAUCCAGGAAAACCUCCAGAGUUCCUGAAGUCUCACUCACCUUCAGGAGGAGCAGAAAAUCUGGACGGACUGAAAUUUGAAGGAAACCAAGAGGAGAUGAAGAUGACCAUCUCCUCUGCUGCAGUGACAGAUUCUGCUGUGUACUACUGUGCUGUGAGGCCCACAGUGACAGGAAACACCAGAACUCUGUACAAGAACCUGCAGUACUCCACAUCAUCCACUAGAGGGCCUCACACACUGUUAAACCAUUGAUUGUUGAGUCUUUGGACUGAUGACAAAGACAACAGAGACAUGAAGCAGUAAAGAUCAGAGACAGAGCUGCUGUGGAAGCAGAAAACUCUGUGAUUGGUUGAGUUGAAGUGGCCCCGCCCACUGAACUUCAGCUCCUCCAAUGACAUUAUUCCUUCCUCCACCUAUUUUGUUGCUUAAAAUUCCUGCAAAGUUCUGAAUUUAAGCUAAAGAACCUCCAGACAUCCUUGAAACCAGUACCUGAACCACCAGUCCACGGUCUAAACAUUGAAUUUUGAGUCUUAAACAAGUUAUUUGACCAAAUAUGUAAUUUAAUCACAGAGUAAUGAAUAAUUUCUAGGAUUUAUAAUUCAGUAUUUAAAUGGUGAUUUUUUUCAUGUGUUCUAGAACAACCAACGAGAGGAACUGAAGUUCAGAAAUAUGAGAAAAUCAGAGCUGAUGUUACUUUUUACAUUAAAAUAUGAACCCAGAAUGACAGCAGAAGGAUUUUCUGGUUUCUAUCGUUUUAACUGGACCUAAUCUAUGUUUUCUUAUAAAGACUGUGAACCAGAAUUGAUUAACACAGCAUGUAGCUGCAUAUUUUAUGUCUAAAGAAAAGAAAACUAAAUAAAAACAAAAGAUUUCAUA